rnacentral:rRNA from 1 species
AGUGAACGCUGGCGGUAGGCCUAACACAUGCAAGUCGAACGGCAGCACAGUAAGAGCUUGCUCUUACGGGUGGCGAGUGGCGGACGGGUGAGGAAUACAUCGGAAUCUACUUUUUCGUGGGGGAUAACGUAGGGAAACUUACGCUAAUACCGCAUACGACCUUCUUGUGAAAGCAGUGGAUCUUCGGACCUUGCUCGAUUGAAUGAGCCGAUGUCGGAUUCGCUAGUUGGCGGGGUAAUGGCCCACCAAGGCGACGAUCCGUAGCUGGUCUGAGAGGAUGAUCAGCAACACUGGAACUGAGACACGGUCCAGACUCCUACGGGAGGCAGAAGUGGGGAAUAUUGGACAAUGGGCGAAAGCCUGAUCCAGACAUACCGCGUGGGUGAAGAAGGCCUUCGGGUUGUAAAGCCCUUUUGUUGGGAAAGAAAAGCAGCAGGGUAAUAACCCGCUGUUCUGACGGUACCCAAAGAAUAAGCACCGGCUAACUUCGUG